rnacentral:rRNA from 1 species
UACGUAGGGGGCAAGCGUUGGUCCGGAUUUAUUGGGCGUAAAGAGCGUGUAGGCGGCCAGAUAGGUCCGUUGUGAAAACUCGAGGCUCAACCUUGAGACGCCGAUGGAAACCAUCUGGCUAGAGUCCGGAAGAGGAGAGUGGAAUUCCUGGUGUAGCGGUGAAAUGCGCAGAUAUCAGGAAGAACACCCGUGGCUAAGGCGGCUCUCUAGUACGGUACUGACGCUGAGACGCGAAAGCGUGGGGAGCGAACAGG